rnacentral:rRNA from 1 species
AUCAUUACCGAGUGAGGGCCCUCUGGGUCCAACCUCCCACCCGUGUUUAUUUUACCUUGUUGCUUCGGCGGGCCCGCCUUAACUGGCCGCCGGGGGGCUUACGCCCCCGGGCCCGCGCCCGCCGAAGACACCCUCGAACUCUGUCUGAAGAUUGUAGUCUGAGUGAAAAUAUAAAUUAUUUAAAACUUUCAGCAACGGAUCUCUUGGUUCCGGCAUCGAUGAAGAACGCAGCGAAAUGCGAUACGUAAUGUGAAUUGCAAAUUCAGUGAAUCAUCGAGUCUUUGAACGCACAUUGCGCCCCCUGGUAUUCCGGGGGGCAUGCCUGUCCGAGCGUCAUUGCUGCCCUCAAGCACGGCUUGUGUGUUGGGCCCCGUCCUCCGAUCCCGGGGGACGGGCCCGAAAGGCAGCGGCGGCACCGCGUCCGGUCCUCGAGCGUAUGGGGCUUUGUCACCCGCUCUGUAGGCCCGGCCGGCGCUUGCCGAUCAACCCAAAUUUUUAUCCAGGUUGACCUCGGAUCAGGUAGGGAUACCCGCUGAACUUAAGC